GACGAACCGUACGAACGUUAUUCGGAAUUACUGGGCUUAAAGGGUGCGUAGGCGGCGCAGUAAGUUGGGGUGUGAAAAUCCCUCGGCUUAACCGAGGAAUUGCGCCCAAAACUACUGUGCUCGAGGGAGAGUAGAGGUGAGCGGAACUUAGGGUGGAGCGGUGAAAUGCGUUGAUAUCCUAAGGACACCGGUGGCGAAAGCGGCUCACUGGAUCUCUUCUGACGCUGAGGCACGAAGGCUAGGGUAGCAAACGGG
rnacentral:rRNA from 1 species